rnacentral:tRNA from 1 species
GGUUCUUUAGUUAAGUCGGUAAGUUCGCUUAUAGCUCAUAAAAGUUAGGUCACUGGUUAGAAUCCAGUAAGAACCA